GACGAACGCUGGCGGCGUGCUUAACACAUGCAAGUCGAACGAUGAAGCUGGAGCUUGCUCCGGUGGAUUAGUGGCGAACGGGUGAGUAACACGUGAGCAAUCUGCCCUUGACUCUGGGAUAACUGCGGGAAACUGUAGCUAAUACCGGAUACGAGGCUCGAAGGCAUCUUCGGGUCUGGAAAGAAUUUCGGUCAAGGAUGAGCUCGCGGCAUAUCAGCUUGUUGGUGAGGUAAUGGCUCACCAAGGCGACGACGGGUAGCCGGCCUGAGAGGGUGACCGGCCACACUGGGACUGGGACACGGCCCAGACUCCUACGGGAGGCAGCAGUGGGGAAUAUUGCACAAUGGGCGAAAGCCUGAUGCAGCAACGCCGCGUGAGGGAUGAAGGCCUUCGGGUUGUAAACCUCUUUUAGCAGGGAAGAAGCGAAAGUGUCGGUACCUGCAGAAAAAGCACCGGCUAACUACGUGCCAGCCGCCGCGGUAA
rnacentral:rRNA from 1 species